AAGACUAUAGACCUGCGGAGUACCUGCGGAAGGAUCAUUAACGUAUCUAUGAUGGGGUGCGGAGCGCCCUGCUCCGGUCGAACGGCCGUGCAGCGGGUGCGCCGCCCCCGCCCCACCUCACAAACCCACUGUGAACAUUCACCGGUGGAGGGGGCUCGGUCUGCGCCGUGUCCCCGAUGCCGAAUACCCAAACUCCAGUUGCAAAGAACGUCGUGCGGACUCGGUGCCGCCUAAAACAUG
rnacentral:misc_RNA from 1 species